rnacentral:rRNA from 1 species
GAUGAACGCUGGCGGCGUGCCUAAUACAUGCAAGUCGAGCGAACUGAUUAGAAGCUCGCUUCUAAUCAGUUAGCGGCGGACGGGUGAGUAACACGUGGGCAACCCGCCUGUAAGACUGGGAUAACUUCGGGAAACCGAAGCUAAUACCGGAUAGGAUCCUCUCCUUCAUGGGAGAUGAUUGAAAGAUGGUUUCGGCUAUCACUUACAGAUGGGCCCGCGGUGCAUUAGCUAGUUGGUGAGGUAACGGCUCACCAAGGCAACGAUGCAUAGCCGACCUGAGAGGGUGAUCGGCCACACUGGGACUGAGACACGGCCCAGACUACUACGGGAGGCAGCAGUAGGGAAUCUUCCGCAAUGGACGAAAGUCUGACGGAGCAACGCCGCGUGAGUGAUGAAGGCUUUCGGGUCGUAAAACUCUGUUGUUAGGGAAGAACAAGUACGAGAGUAACUGCUCGUACCUUGACGGUACCUAACCAGAAAGCCACGGCUAACUACGUGCCAGCCGCCGCAGUAACAC